rnacentral:sRNA from 1 species
GGACCUGUAUAUGGCGGCUGCAAUGCCCUG